CCUACGGGUGGCAGCAGUCGAGAAUCAUUCACAAUGGGGGAAACCCUGAUGGUGCGACGCCGCGUGGGGGAAUGAAGGUCUUCGGAUUGUAAACCCCUUUCAUGUGGGAGCAAAUUAAAAAGAUAGUACCACAAGAGGAAGAGACGGCUAACUCUGUGCCAGCAGCCGCGGUAAUACAGAGGUCUCAAGCGUUGUUCGGAAUCACUGGGCGUAAGGCGUGCGUAGGCUGUUUCGUAAGUCGUGUGUGAAAGGCGCGGGCUCAACCCGAGGACGGCACAUGAUACUGCGAGACUAGAGUAAUGGAGGGGGAACCGGAAUUCUCGGUGUAGCAGUGAAAUGCGUAGAUAUCGAGAGGAACACUCGUGGCGAAGGCGGGUUCCUGGACAUUAACUGACGCUGAGGCACGAAGGCCAGGGGAGCGAAAGGGAUUAGAUACCCCAGUAGUC
rnacentral:rRNA from 1 species